CUAUGCAUAAAUUGGUCCGAUUGAGUUAUGCAAAUUUUUUAAAUAAUCUAUAUUGGUUCUAUAUAUGAUUAGAACAAUAUGAUACGAUGCACAUCGGUCCGCUUUACUGGCAACUAUCUUUCAAGAUGGAGGGGAGGCACUCGUGUGGACCUGCUCAAUGUUCGAGGAGAUACGGCUGACUAAACAAGGUCAUUUUAAAGUUCUUUGUGGUUCAUGUUAGCUAUCUAUCAGUAAUAGUACAACCUUGAUUUUUAUGUCAUUCAGGUUUACCUAACCAUCAGUAACAUUACUUUCUAUUGGAGACUUCUUACAGGAGGUGCUUAUAAAAUGAUAAUUGAACAUGUACAGAUUUGGGAUCACGAUCAUCUAUUUACCAGGCAUCAGUAAACUCAAGGCACCGAUCAAAAUCUAGCAUUGUUUGUUGUGUGCAGCAUGGAGAAGACAAAGAACAGAGAUUGUGUGAUAUAUCCGAUAUCGCAAUAUAAUUUUCUCUUGCAUAUUUAUAAUCUGCCAUUUGAAUGAUGUUUUCUGUGUUGUAGUCCAAUCAAGACAAUUUGCAACUUUGGUGUUAUAACAGCAAUGGGGGACUGUUUGUUGAUGCCCGACCCAUGAUGUCGGCGAAGGAAUGAGAGUCGACGAGGAGUGGACGCCAUGGGUUCGUGAACUGGCGAAGCCUCCGUUGUCCGUUUGGUAAUGUCCGACGCAUAAGAGGCAUAGUAUGACUUGCCCCGAUUAUGAUGUCGUCUACAAACAUCCGACGGAGGGCAACCCAUCCCUGUUUCCAUCUUGAUGUUUCAGUUGUUGAGCUCUGCACUACAAAACCGAGAAAGACCCAAGGCUUUUUACAGACUACAAAUAGAGGGAAGUUGGCAUGUGCCUUACUAGAGACAGAUGAACCAAUAAAUGAUUGGAAAGGUUCUUCCCAAGCAAAAGAUUACCUAUGAUGAAAAUUACAUUCUCUGCGGGCGCUGAUUCAGAUAUAUUACUAUGGGCAAAGGAAGUUCAAAAUUUAUCUCAAUCAACAUGUGCAAAGGAAAAUUCAAAAUAUGUUAUGUCACGAAAAGAUUCGUAAACCGGUGAAGUAUCUAGAGGGCUUAUUAGGACACUGCUCAUAUUGUUUGAUACUUUACCAUCUGGGGAUUAGGCUAUCGGUGAACACGACAAUGCGGCUGUUGGUCACGGAUGCCGGGGGCGUGAGCGGGGUUGAGGAGCUCACGUGGUGCUAUACAUGACGACCUGCGAGUGGUGGCAGGAGGUGGCAUGCCUGCUGCUUGGCUGGAAGUCCGACAUGAACUCCCACGACCGACUGUAAGCAUGGUUGUGAAGACCUUCCAGCAUUACCCCAGGAAGCUAACACAUCAGCUUGUGCCAUACGUGGUGUUUUCUUGUUGAUGAAUGUUGGUCUAGGUAAUCUCCUUGAUGAACCAUGUGACAAUUAAUAAAGUUAAUAAAGGACAGCAUACUCUUUUUGUC